UACGUAGGGUGCAAGCGUUGUCCGGAAUUAUUGGGCGUAAAGAGCUCGUAGGCGGUUUGUCGCGUCGAAUGUGAAAACCCGGGGCUCAACCCCGGGCCUGCAUUCGAUACGGGCAGACUAGAGUUCGGUAGGGGAGUCUGGAAUUCCUGGUGUAGCGGUGAAAUGCGCAGAUAUCAGGAGGAACACCAAUUGCGAAGGCAGCUUGCUGGGACGGUACUGACGCUGAGGCGCGAAAGCGUGGGGAGCAAACAGG
rnacentral:rRNA from 1 species